GCAUGGUCUGUGGUGGGAAAGAUUUUCGGUUGGGGAUGGGCUCGCGGCCUAUCAGCUUGUUGGUGAGGUAGUGGCUCACCAAGGCGUCGACGGGUAGCCGGCCUGAGAGGGUGACCGGCCACACUGGGACUGAGACACGGCCCAGACUCCUACGGGAGGCAGCAGUGGGGAAUAUUGCACAAUGGGCGGAAGCCUGAUGCAGCAACGCCGCGUGAGGGAUGACGGCCUUCGGGUUGUAAACCUCUUUUAGCAGGGAAGAAGCGUAAGUGACGGUACCUGCAGAAAAAGCGCCGGCUAACUACGUGCCAGCAGCCGCGGUAAUACGUAGGGCGCAAGCGUUAUCCGGAAUUAUUGGGCGUAAAGAGCUCGUAGGCGGUUUGUCGCGUCUGCUGUGAAAACCCGAGGCUCAACCUCGGGCCUGCAGUGGGUACGGGCAGACUAGAGUGCGGUAGGGGAGAUUGGAAUUCCUGGUGUAGCGGUGGAAUGCGCAGAUAUCAGGAGGAACACCGAUGGCGAAGGCAGAUCUCUGGGCCGUUACUGACGCUGAGGAGCGAAAGGGUGGGGAGCAAACAGGCUUAGAUACCCUGGUAGUCCACCCCGUAAACGUUGGGAACUAGUUGUGGGGGCCUUUCCACGGUCUCCGUGACGCAGCUAACGCAUUAAGUUCCCCGCCUGGGGAGUACGGCCGCAAGGCUAAAACUCAAAGGAAUUGACGGGGACCCGCACAAGCGGCGGAGCAUGCGGAUUAAUUCGAUGCAACGCGAAGAACCUUACCAAGGCUUGACAUACACCGGAAACGUCUGGAGACAGUCGCCCCUUUUUGGUCGGUGUACAGGUGGUGCAUGGUUGUCGUCAGCUCGUGUCGUGAGAUGUUGGGUUAAGUCCCGCAACGAGCGCAACCCUCGUUCUAUGUUGCCAGCACGUUAUGGUGGGAACUCAUGGGAUACUGCCGGGGUCAACUCGGAGGAAGGUGGGGAUGACGUCAAAUCAUCAUGCCCCUUAUGUCUUGGGCUUCACGCAUGCUACAAUGGCCGGUACAAAGGGCUGCAAUACCGUGAGGUGGAGCGAAUCCCAAAAAGCCGGUCCCAGUUCGGAUUGAGGUCUGCAACUCGACCUCAUGAAGUCGGAGUCGCUAGUAAUCGCAGAUCAGC
rnacentral:rRNA from 1 species